UUUUCACUCGAAGAAAAUUGA
rnacentral:piRNA from 1 species